rnacentral:sRNA from 1 species
GAACAUGACGGCGCCCUGGGCGGCCCUCGCCCUCCUCUGGGGAUCGCUGUGCGCCGGCUCUGGGCGUGGGGAGGCUGAGACACGGGAGUGCAUCUACUACAACGCCAACUGGGAGCUGGAGCGCACCAACCAGAGCGGCCUGGAGCGCUGCGAAGGCGAGCAGGACAAGCGGCUGCACUGCUACGCCUCCUGGCGCAACAGCUCUGGCACCAUCGAGCUCGUGAAGAAGGGCUGCUGGCUAGAUGACUUCAACUGCUACGAUAGGCAGGAGUGCGUGGCCACUGAGGAGAACCCCCAGGUGUACUUCUGCUGCUGUGAAGGCAACUUCUGCAACGAGCGCUUCACUCAUUUGCCAGAAGCUGGGGGCCCAGAAGUCACGUACGAGCCACCCCCGACAGCCCCCACCCUGCUCACGGUGCUGGCCUACUCACUGCUGCCCAUCGGGGGCCUUUCCCUCAUCGUCCUGCUGGCCUUUUGGAUGUACCGGCAUCGCAAGCCCCCCUACGGUCAUGUGGACAUCCAUGAGGUGAGACAGUACUGGCUUGGGGCAGGGCAGGGUAGAGGUGGGGAGGACAGGCCAGACCUUAUUAAGCCUUGCUCUCCCCCAGGACCCUGGGCCUCCACCCCCAUCCCCUCUGGUGGGCCUGAAGCCACUGCAGCUGCUGGAGAUCAAGGCUCGGGGGCGCUUUGGCUGUGUCUGGAAGGCCCAGCUCAUGAAUGACUUUGUAGCUGUCAAGAUCUUCCCACUCCAGGACAAGCAGUCGUGGCAGAGUGAACGGGAGAUCUUCAGCACACCUGGCAUGAAGCACGAGAACCUGCUACAGUUCAUUGCUGCCGAGAAGCGAGGAUCCAACCUCGAAGUAGAGCUGUGGCUCAUCACGGCCUUCCACGACAAGGGCUCCCUCACGGAUUACCUCAAGGGGAACAUCAUCACAUGGAACGAACUGUGUCAUGUAGCAGAGACAAUGUCACGAGGCCUCUCAUACCUGCAUGAGGACGUGCCCUGGUGCCGUGGUGAGGGCCACAAGCCGUCUAUUGCCCACAGGGACUUUAAAAGUAAGAAUGUAUUGCUGAAGAGCGACCUCACAGCCGUGCUGGCUGACUUUGGCUUGGCUGUUCGAUUUGAGCCAGGGAAACCUCCAGGGGACACCCACGGACAGGUAGGCACGAGACGGUACAUGGCUCCUGAGGUGCUUGAGGGAGCCAUCAACUUCCAGAGAGAUGCCUUCCUGCGCAUUGACAUGUAUGCCAUGGGGUUGGUGCUGUGGGAGCUUGUGUCUCGCUGCAAGGCUGCAGACGGACCCGUGGAUGAGUACAUGCUGCCCUUUGAGGAAGAGAUUGGCCAGCACCCUUCGUUGGAGGAGCUGCAGGAGGUGGUGGUGCACAAGAAGAUGAGGCCCACCAUUAAAGAUCACUGGUUGAAACACCCGGGCCUGGCCCAGCUUUGUGUGACCAUCGAGGAGUGCUGGGACCAUGAUGCAGAGGCUCGCUUGUCCGCGGGCUGUGUGGAGGAGCGGGUGUCCCUGAUUCGGAGGUCGGUCAACGGCACUACCUCGGACUGUCUCGUUUCCCUGGUGACCUCUGUCACCAAUGUGGACCUGCCCCCUAAAGAGUCAAGCAUCUAAGCCCAGGACAUAAGUGUCUGUCCAGACUCAGCGGAUCUGAA